GGGAACGUGCCCUUCGGUUCGGAAUAACUCAGGGAAACUUGAGCUAAUACCGGAUACGCCCUUUUGGGGAAAGGCUUGACUGCCGAAGGAUCGGCCCGCGUCUGAUUAGCUAGUUGGUGAGGUUAUGGCUCACCAAGGCGACGAUCAGUAGCUGGUCUGAGAGGAUGAUCAGCCACACUGGGACUGAGACACGGCCCAGACUCCUACGGGAGGCAGCAGUGGGGAAUAUUGGACAAUGGGGGCAACCCUGAUCCAGCCAUGCCGCGUGAGUGAUGACGGCCUUAGGGUUGUAAAGCUCUUUUCUCCGGGACGAUAAUGACGGUACCGGAGGAAUAAGCCCCGGCUAACUUCGUGCCAGCAGCCGCGGUAAUACGAAGGGGGCUAGCGUUGCUCGGAAUCACUGGGCGUAAAGGGCGCGUAGGCGGCUGAUUUAGUCGAGGGUGAAAGCCCGUGGCUCAACCACGGAAUGGCCUUCGAUACUGGUUGGCUUGAGACCGGAAGAGGACAGCGGAACUGCGAGU
rnacentral:rRNA from 1 species